AUGAAACCCAACACCAAGAAGAAAUCCAAGAAGAAGAAGCGGCCCUCGCCGGCGGCCGCCGACGGGGCGGCGCCGCCGACCCCUCCGGCGCCGGGGUCCUCCCCGCGCUCGCCGCUCGCCGAAACCCUAACCCUAGCCGCCGCGGCCUCGGAGACGGAGUCGAGCGGCAGCGGCAGCGGGAGCGGCGGGGACGCCUCCGCGUACACCCGCGCCUUCACCUCCAGCUCGUCGGGGCCCGCGUCCACCUCCUCGUUCUACGCCCCCUCCUCGACCGACUCCGCCGCGUCCUCCUCGGCCACGGGCGACGAGCGGCGCGACCUCGCCUGGCUGCUCGAGGCCUUCGGCAGCGCCACCAUCGACCAGGUCGACUCGGCCUACCGCGAGGCCGGCGGCGACCCCUUCCUCGCGGCCGGCAUCCUCGGCUCCACGCAGGACAUGCAGCCGCCGCCGCCGCCACCGCCAGAUCUCUCCCCGCGCGCCGGAUCUGCUGGGAGGAGGCCGGCUCGCAGGCCCAGGAAGCUUCCCGUUGCCGUGUCUGGCAUCGUUGCGGACGUGAUCGGCAAGGGCUACUCGCGGCCUGCCACUCCGCCUGUGAGCGCGACCGAUAGAAGUGGGUGGAAGGGGAAGGGGAAGGACAUGGAUGGAGAAAGCGUCAGCAAUGGCUGGAAUGAUGAGAGAAAUGGGGAGAGAGAAAGCGGGGGUGGCUAUCCCACGCUUAAUGUUGAGGAGGCCGAGCAGUUCCUGUGCUCCAUGCUUGGAGAUCAUUCUGAGCUCAGCAUGGGUGUGGUCAAAGACGUGCUGGGUCAGUCUGGAUAUGAUGUUGAGCAGGCUCUGGACGCAUUGCUUGAUAUCUCUGGUAUGGGAUGGUGCAUUCCUAAUGAAGAAACAAAUAGCUCAUCCUCUCCAAAUAUCUUCCCAGGAAAUGGAUUGUUUGAAGAAGAAUGUACUGCAAGUAUUCAACAGAGUCCACACCAGUUCCCAGAAGAAAUACCUGGUAUGUCAUACAAUCACUCUGAAAGGCAACAUGAAUUCUUCUGGGGGGAACAACAGAGCAGUAGCUACAUGAAGGCUGUUUGCGAGGUGCAGCACCCGGCAACACCGUCUCCAAGAUCAGCGGUGGUGGAUUCCAAGAUGCCACAACAAGUCUUGGAGUCGCUGUUCAAAAUACCUGAACGUCGCACAUACGAGCCAAGUAAAAUGGACUGGAAGAAGGUAGUGAAGAAGCUGCAGUCAUACAAUCAUCCCAUCACAGCAAGCAAUCAAGAAAGACCAAAAAAUGGGGAUGGGUAUCGAGAGUUCCGUGGUGUUUCUGCUAGGCAUUAUGAUACGAUGAAAGGGUAUUAUCAGAAAGCUGCUGUGGCAUAUUCCAAAGGAGAUAAAUCUUAUGCCUCUUACCUUGCAGAGGAGGGAAAACAUUAUCGGGAAUUGGGUCGCAAGGAAGAUGAGAAGGCCAGCAGGGAGAUAUUUGAAGCCAGAAACAAGCAUAUAACAAACACGGUGACUAUUGACUUGCAUGGUCAACAUGUCAAGCAAGCUAUGAAGCUCCUCAAAGUUCACAUGCUGGUUUGUGUAUGCAUGCCAUCUACCCUUCUUAGAGUAAUUACUGGUUGUGGUGUUGAAGGUACAGGGAAAGGGAAGAUAAAACGAUCGGUUAUCAAGCUUGUGGAGAAGGAAGGCAUCGAGUGGUACGAAGGGAACUCCGGAACCAUAGUUAUUCGACUAGGCGGGCCAAGAGAAUACCGCUUCCUGGAGCAUGACAGCGAUUCUGACUAA
rnacentral:rRNA from 1 species